GGAUAUUAAUUGGAAUAGGCAUGCCUAAGUGUAUGUGUGUCAGACAGUUCAUCUGCGUGGAAUACUAGUAACGAACCUACAUUGGAUCCAGAACCGAGGUUCCCAGUUUCAGCAGAUCAAUCAGAUAAUUCCUUCUGAGGCAGAACAGAGCAGAGUGUGCAGAACUUCAGUUUGUUGAGAUGAGAUCAGAGAAAGAAAGAUCACAGGCCGAGGG
rnacentral:lncRNA from 1 species